GUUGCCUGUGUUAGAAAGGCUGCGUUCUGUGCGCAUGCGCACUUUUCCAUUAGUGGUCGUCAGGGAGAUUUAUUCAGCAGCAGAUGCGAGCGGGACUGUAUGUGUGCAAAGUGUGCGUGAAUACGCAAAAGUAAGUUGUUUGUCUAUUCAGUAGAUAAUCAAUGUUAGUUCAGGAGUUUGUAAAGUAUUCAUUCAAUGUUAUUCUGCAUCUGAGAUAUAAGUAUUUGUUGUUAUUUAAGCCGUUUGGUCGCGGGCUUUUGACAAUAUGUAAAUGUGCCAAUUAUGUUCAGUAUUACUUGUUAUUAUUGUAUAUCUCUGGUAAGCAUCGUUUGAUUUGUAUGUAUAUAUGUGUGAUUAUCACAUUAAUAAUGUAAACGCUUGCCAUUUGAUAUUUAUUCAAGCAAUAUUUCUGGUUUAUAUUCAGUUCGUUUAAUUUACCUCAGAAAUAAGUUUCGGUUUCAGUGUUUUGCCGUUUCUGACCAACAGGUGGUAGUAUUGAGUAAUAAUUAUAAUGCCUGUAUGUUCAUUUCUGUAAAUUAUUCUCAUUUAGAGGUUUUAUUGAGAGAUUUACAACUGUUGUGAAAUAAUGUCUGUGCAAUAAUACUUAAGAAACAUUUGUUAAUAUAUAUCUUUAUUUGUUUCCUUUAGACCACACAUAAACACACAUAAAACUCCUUACUUGUGACCUGUAAUUCUGUGCACUGCUGUGUUGUGGAAUACUGAAAAUGACAAAUUAAACCCUAUUGCAUGAAACUAAAGGAAUUCAGUGUGUUCUAACCGACACCCCAUAAAGGAAAGCUAAUUUAAAACUUCACCUUACAUAGAGAAGAACCUUUUUCAGUCCUGCUAUCGAACAAAUGGUCCUUCGAGCCGGAUAUGGCAUUUCUUAUGGACAAAGAAUUCAUUAGUAGCAACAUGCAACUAGAAGAUAAGUCUGCUCAGAUAGUAAGACCCAAACGUCAGGUCAAUCUUCCUACCUACCUUCAAGACUAUGAUCUCACGACUGGGCGUCGUAGAACAGUAAACCAGCCAGUAUUUCCUCACACAACACAGCAUGCACAAGGGUUUGGAGAGGCUGCGAACAAUGUCUCUUCACAUUCGACCAGAGGAUCAAGUCCUAUAAGUCAAGCUCCAUGGGAGACAGUGGAUGACUGGUCUGUCCAUUCCGAAGGAGAACUUCCUGUCCCAGAUGUGGGUGACACUGAACAGCAUCAUCCUAGUCCUACUUAUGCUUCAGUACGACCAUACCCUCCUCAGUUUUCUCCUUAUCACAGACCAUGGGAAGAACAGCAGUCUACUCCGCUGCCACAGACUUUCCAUACUAAUCAGCGUAGGUUAUCUCUGCAUCGUGAAGCUGUACCUUACCAUCCAGAGUCUACAUUGUAUUCUACAGUGCCUCGUCCAGCUUAUGGGCAACAGCAUCAGAUGAGCAGCAUAACAGCACCCACUGUGAAGCCAUACCAUCCCCCCUUUACCUCUACGGAUGGCUUUUCUUUCAGUCAUAAUCAGCAGUCUGCUUAUCUAAGUCCGCCCAACCCAGCAAAGGAAAGAACAGUGGAUCAUCGAAGUGACUCUGGAAUGAUAGACCUCAUUGGAAAGAUGAUUGGUGAACUUAACGUAAUGAAAGAUCAUAUCUUGGCUGAUACAUCUCAUAAAUCAUAUGUUCAUUCUGCUCAAUCUGGUGGGCAUACUUACCAGCAUCCAUCUCUCCUGCGGCAGUCUGGAAACAUCAGUCUCACUUCUCAUCCAGUAGGAUUUCAAACUACGCCUGGUCCUUACACCACCAAUCCUGAUCCAUACUGGCAUUCGAGAACAUCCUUAAAACCCACAAUUGAGACCUUUGAUAAUCCUAAGCAGGUAUAUCAUCAGUCAAAACAUCCUACUUGGCCGCAGUCACCUCAGAGAGCUCGCUGCACUACCAAUGUAAUUCCUGUCGGACAAGAGACCACAUACCGAGGUCCAACGCCAACCAUACCUAACUUCUGUACUAAAGAUCCUAGCGAGUUUACUCGGUUGAAGAUAGCGCUUGAGAACCUUUUACCACCAGAUGCCACUGAGCUGUUCCGGUACCAAAUCCUGUUAGAUCAUCUAAAGCUAGAUGAAGCACGUCUGGUGGCAGAUUCCUACCUCAAUUCUCCAUUUCCAUACUCUGAUACCAUGACUGCUCUGAAUGAAAGGUUUGGCCAGCCGCACAAAUUGGCUCUCAAGAAAAUCGCCAAAGUGAUGGACUCCCCAGAUAUCCGACGUGGAGAUACUGAGGCCUUUGAUAAGUUCGCUCUGCAAAUAAGGGCUCUUGUUGGUAUGUUGGAGACUCUUGGAGAUGAAGGCGAAGCAGAACUUCGAUGUGGGUCACAUGUCGAGAGACUGUUGAGUAAGUUACCUGCAGAAAUGAGAUCAGGAUUUCGUAGACAGAUGUACCACCGCCCUGGGUCUGUGUAUAAUCUCCGUGAAUUUUCUGAGUGGCUCCAGUAUGAGGCCUGGUGUCAAAGCAGCGAGUCGCAGAUCAGUUAUAAGAGCCAAAGAACAGAGCAGAGAACAGAACGUAGGCGAGAAUCCAAACCUACUGCCCGUUCAGCCACCAUACUUCAUGGAGCAGAUGACACUGUCACUCCAGCACCGGCCCAAGUCAAACAAGUUAAAGUGGAGAAGCUCAAAGCCCCAACUAAAGCUUUCUGCCCUUUCUGUGAUAAAGAUGAUCAUUAUCUCAGUCAGUGUGCUACCUUUAAGUCCUUUGAUAAACAGCAAAUGAUUGACUGGAUCCGAACGAACCAUCGCUGCUGGCGUUGUGGACGUGGACACCAGGCAGCUCAGUGUACCCUCAAGAAGCCUUGUAGCAUAUGUAAUGGGAAACACUUGCAAAUCUUGCACGAAGUCAACACAAAGAGUACAGGAGAGGGUUCCUGCCUGGUUAGCUCAACCGCUGAGACAUUGUACUUGGAUAGACCCACUGACAACAGACGUGUUCUCCUAAAGGUCAUAAAUGUUCUGCUGCGUUAUGGAGGCAAGACACUUAACACUUACGCUGUCAUGGAUGAUGGGUCCGAGCGCACUAUUCUCCUUCCUGAUGCUGCCCGUGAGCUGGACAUACAAGGCCAAGCUGAAAGCAUAGCAUUGCGGACCAUCCGACAAGAGGUGAAAACCAUCAGUGGUGCUUCAGUUAACUUCCACAUAUCUCCUGCCACUCAACCACAGAAGACCUUCAAGAUUAAUGCAGCAUUUACUGCUAAAACCCUUGGUCUGGCUGAUCACUCGUACCCUGUGAGUUUGCUGGAGAAGUAUAAGUACCUUAAAGACAUCCCUCUGCAGACCUUUGAAAGAGUGAGCCCUUUACUUCUCAUUGGGGCUGAUAAUACUCACCUUAUCACACCGAUCGCACCUGUCCGAAUUGGUACACCUGAUGGUCCAGCAGCUAUAAAGACAAAGCUUGGAUGGACACUCCAGGGACCUGCCAAGAUCCUGGAGAACCAGUUACAACCACACCAGUGCCUUUUCCUGUCUCUGACCCCUGCCGAACUCCAACUCAGAAGAGAUGUUGAAAGAUUAUGGCAGCUUGAUGUUUUACCUUUCCGCUGUGAAAAGCAGGUGACAAGGUCCAGGGAGGACCAAGAAGCCAUAAAUCUUCUAGAGACCAAGACAACACGUGUGGAGGUGAAUGGAAUCCUACGCUAUGCAACACCUUUAUUGCGCAGAAAGGAUUCACCCUUCUUUUGUGCCCCCAAAGAGGCUGUGGUGCCAAGUCUCCGGAGUAUGGAACGCCGACUAGCUCAAAAUCCAGUGAAAGCAGCUGUGUACAAUGCUGAGGUUGAGAAGUUAGUACAGAAUGGCGCAGUUACCAAACUCACACCUGCUGAAAACAGUAUGAUGGGGGAGACCUGGUAUAUCCCACACCAUCUGGUAAACCACAAUGACAAGGAUCGUAUUGUGUUCAAUUGCUCUUUCCGAUACAAGGGACUGAACCUUAAUGAUUCUUUGAUGCCUGGUCCAACCUUAAGCCCCUCACUCCUGGGUGUUUUACUGCGUUUCAGGGAGCACUGUGUAGCCAUUAGUGGCGAUAUACGUGGAAUGUUCCACCAAGUCCUACUCCUACCUGAGGAUAAGCCCCUCCUGCGCUUUCUGUGGCGUGACAUGAGACGAGACAACCCACCUGAUGUUUAUGAAUGGCAAGUACUGCCAUUUGGAACUACGUGCAGUCCCUGCUGUGCAUCCUUUGCCCUUCAAAGACAUGUUUCAUCGCACAGCACACCAAAUGAAGAUGUGAGGCAUUCUGUUGACCACUGUUUCUAUGUGGAUAACUGUCUGCAGAGCUUUCCAUCUGCUCAAGAAGCACGGCAGUUACUGGACAAACUUCGGGAGCUGUUAGCAUCUGGAGGAUUUGACAUCCGUCAGUGGGCCAGCAAUGUGCAAGAGGUUAUCAGUCAUUUGCCACCAGAGGCCAGAUCAUCCAAGCUAGAGCUGUGGCUCUCACAUGACAAAUCUGACCCACAUGAAUCCACCUUGGGACUGAAUUGGAACUGUGAGUUAGACCAUCUGUGUUACAAGCACAGACCUGUCACUUACAAUGCUUUGACGAUGCGGAACAUAUAUCGUGUGUUAGCAAGUCAAUAUGACCCCCUUGGUGCCAUUCUUCCUUUCACAACACGGGCUAAGGUCAUUGUUCAACAGCUCUGGGCUAAGAAUAGGAACUGGGACGAUUCACAACUUCCUGAGGAGCUUCAGAAGGCAUGGAAAGUGUGGGAAGCUGAACUUCAAUACCUGCCUCAAGUAACACUACCAAGAAGCUAUACGCCAGCCAGCAUGGAUAACCCUGAAGUCAAUCGGGAAAUCCAUAUCUUCACUGAUGCUUCUGAGAAAGCUUACGGAGCAGUAGCGUAUCUUCGCUCAGAGGAUCCAUGUGGAAGUAUUCAUCUUUCCUUCCUUCUGGCCCGAUCACGUGUAGCUCCACGUAAGCAGUGUUCAAUUCCCAGGCUUGAGUUGUGUGCUGCUCUUAUAGGAGCUCAGCUGGCUAAGCUGACUGAAAAUGAGCUCACCUUGAAGAUUCAGAAGGUCACUUUCUGGACAGAUUCAACAACCGUCCUCCAUUGGUUACAUUCCGAAUCCUGCCGCUUCAAGGUGUUUGUGGGCACUAGGGUGGCAGAGAUUCAAGAACUAACUGACCUUAAAGCAUGGCAUUACGUUGACUCUGCCAGGAACCCUGCGGAUGAUCUUACCCGUGGUAAGAGCCUGAAAGAACUUACUGAGCCUAAUCGGUGGACCCAUGGACCUGAAUUCCUCCUCCAACCUCAGAGUAAUUGGCCAUCACCACCAAUAACCCACAGUCUAGUACCUGAGGACACCACAGAAUUAAAGCACAGUGUAUUCUGUGGCAUUAAUAACUCAGCACCAACAACAGCAGAUGGUAGUAAGUUUAGCAGCUGGAAGGACUUAGUCAAAACAGUAGCAGAAGAGCUGCACGGGGCGGCAAAUCCAAAUGGUUCUCCUUCAGCGAAUACUUACCAAACAGCAGAGCUGACUGCAAUUAGAAGGGCCCAAAUGGACAGCUUUCCAGAGGACUAUCAGCUGUUAAAGGACGGUAAGCCUGUCCCUACCAACAGCCGUCUACUUUGCCUCUCCCCAGAAUUUGAUGUAGACAACAAUCUAAUACGAGUAGGGGGACGUUUGAGACGCAUAGAAGGCAUUGAUCCAAGUACAGUACACCCUAUUGUGUUGGAUUCCCAUCACCCUUACACUCAGCUACUUAUCAAAGACUAUGAUACUCGCCUUUGUCAUCCGGGACCGGAACGAGUCUUUGCUGAACUUCGCCGGAAGGUGUGGAUCUUAAAGGGCAGAGAAGCUGUAAGGAAGCACCAAAGAACCUGCCACGAAUGCUGCAAAUGGAGGUCAAAGCCUGCCUCCCAGAAAAUGGCUGAUCUCCCUCCACCAAGGCUCCGUUUGUUCAAGCCUGCCUUCCAUUCAACUGGAAUGGACUGUUUUGGACCUUUCUCUGUCAAGGUGGGACGUCGGACAGAAAAACGAUGGGGGCUUCUAUUUAAGUGUAUGACCACUCGGGCUGUGCACCUCGAGGUUCUAACAUCAAUGGACACUGAUGCCUUUCUCAUGGCACUGCGACGGUUCAUUGGACGUCGUGGGAAACCAGCAGAAUUGUACUCAGACCAAGGCACCAACUUCCGAGGGGGUAACACAGAGCUCAAAGAAGCCUUCAGUCAGCUCAGUGAUGAUUUACAGCAGCAGUUGGCACAGCAGCAGAUCAGCUUCCAUUUUAACCCUCCAUCUGCUCCACACUUCGGAGGAGUGUGGGAACGAGAGAUUCGUUCGGUUAAAGCUGCACUUUAUACAACUCUGGGAUCAGAAAUGGUGUCUGAAGAAGUACUUCGAACUGUCCUCAUUGAAAUAGAGGCCAUCCUGAACUCCAAACCACUUGGGUAUGUUUCAGCAGACAUCGCGGAUGUAGAUCCAGUCACCCCAAACUACCUUCUGAUGGGGCGGCCAGAUAGUUCCCUCCCCCAAGUCACAUAUCCAGUGUCUGAGCUGCUGGGAAGACGGAGAUGGAGACAUUCCCAAGUGUUGUCUGAUAGGUUCUGGACAGCAUUUAUAAAGUACUAUUUGCCCGAACUGCAAGCCAGAAGAAAGUGGCAUAAUUCAGCAACAGACAUCCAACCUGGAAUGGUGGUUAUGGUUGUUGACCCUCAGUUACCCCGUUCAUUCUGGCAGAUCGGAAAAGUAGUAAAGGUCUUUCCCGGAGCUGAUGGUCGAGUGCGUACGGCUGAGGUACAGAUAAAGGACAGAGUCUAUGCAAGACCCAUUGCUCGCUUAAUUGUUCUGCCAGAGAUUCGAGAUGAAGAGGAUGAUAACCACACUGGAAAUUAAUGGUAGUACAUAUGGUGUCAGCCUUUCAAUGGUGCAAAUUUGAAACCAAAUUUGGGGGCGGCUGUGUUAGAAAGGCUGCGUUCUGUGCGCAUGCGCACUUUUCCAUUAGUGGUCGUCAGGGAGAUUUAUUCAGCAGCAGAUGCGAGCGGGACUGUAUGUGUGCAAAGUGUGCGUGAAUACGCAAAAACCACACAUAAACACACAUAAAACUCCUUACUUGUGACCUGUAAUUCUGUGCACUGCUGUGUUGUGGAAUACUGAAAAUGACAAAUUAAACCCUAUUGCAUGAAACUAAAGGAAUUCAGUGUGUUCUAACCGACACCCCAUAAAGGAAAGCUAAUUUAAAACUUCACCUUACAUAGAGAAGAACCUUUUUCAGUCCUGCUA